rnacentral:rRNA from 1 species
CAGCCGCCACGGGAAUACGUAGGGUGCAAGCGUUAAUCGGAAUUACUGAGCGUAAAGGGUGCGUAGGCGGUUUGGCAAGUCUUAUGUGAAAUCUCUGGGCUCAACCCAGAGUCUGCAUGAGAAACUGCCGGGCUUGAGUAUGGGAGAGGUGAGUGGAAUUUCCGGUGUAGCGGUGAAAUGCGUAGAUAUCGGAAGGAACAUCUGUGGCGAAGGCGACUAUCUGGGCCAACACUGACACUGAGGCACGAAAGCGUGGGGAGCAAACAGGAUUAGAUACCCCUGUAGUCCCUGUCUCUUAUAA